UUUGUCUCUUAACACUUCUGUUUCAGUGGUGGAUCUAUAAUCUAUACUUAAGUGUACAUGUGCUGGGUCAGGUUGGACCACCCUGGAAAAAGCUGGAGAGCCGUUGCCCUGUAACCGUUUGGCAAAUCGGCCACCCAACACAAGCUUUCAAAAACGGGUAUUUGCCAACUGAGAGGAGAUACCUUGAGCCCGGAAGGACUCGAUUCAGGGGCCAUCACCACAGCAAGAAAGUUGAGGCCAGAUACCCACUCACACCACACUGAGCUCAACUGCCCUUAAAGCACCGUCCACCACAUGAUGCCAUUUCAUUUUCACUGCUGAAGGAUCAGUGUUCUCGGCUGAGAAAUGGGCAGACGGAGGACCUUCCCGGAAGGGUGCCGAAGAUGUCAGAGGCAAUGAAAGCGGAGAGCCGCGCACAGCGAGUGUUUAACAACAGCAGGAUGGCAGCUGGCGGGUGAGGAGGCCCAGUGCCUGCCAGAAAGAACUCCAGGGUCUUCGGGCCCCUCACCCAGGAGAUUCUCCUGCCCCCGCUCAUGUAGAACCUCUGCCCAGCAGUGUUUAAGACCAGGGUUCCGCCUCAAGAGAGAGCCUUUGGGGACUGACUGGGAAAUGUGGGCGUGUCUUCAGAGCACACGCCACGGUGGGACGCCAUCAAGGGGAGAGGGCGGAGCCUUGGAGUAGGGUCAACGGUGGCUUCCUAGACCCAAGACUCGCGUGGGGACCAUGCAAGAGAUGCCCCUCAGGGUCACUGCCUCAAACACACUCUUUUCUCUUUUUUUUUAAUGUUUUAAGUUUAUUUAUUUAUUUUUAAGAGAGAGACAGUGGGGGAAGGGACAGAGAGAGAGACAAGGAGAGAGAGAAUCCCAAGCAAGCUCUGCACUGUCAGCACGGAGCCCGAUGUGGGGCCCAAACUCACAAACCACGAGAUCAUGACCUGAGCUGCAACCGAGAGUCGGACGCUCAACCCACUGAGCCACACAGGCGCUUUUCAGACACACUCUUGAGGAAGGAUGUGCGGGGCCGACUCCGUGCCUUUCUCUUCUCUCCUUUUCCAGAAGGCUCCGCCAGCCUCUGGCCCACCUCUCCGGUCCACAUCAUGCAUUUGAGCACCUGAGGGGGUGCCUCUCUCCAAAGUGCAUCACUAAGGCUUGUGGUUAAUGUUUCAGCAGCUGCUUGCCUCGCUAAUGGUCUGGGAAACCAACCGGGCCUCCACCCCUGUGUAAGUACCCGGGCCUCCCGCACCCCUGCCCUUUAUGGGCAGGAAGCCCGGCGCUGCCCAGCGGCCAGCCUCACCACGCUGCCGUCAACCCCCACUUGUCCUCUGCCAAGGACUUGGUCCUCUGCCAUGGGGCCUGGAAUCGUAUUUUACCCAUAAUUGUACCUGGUCCCUGCAUGAUAAGCCUGGAGAAGUGAAAAGUUGUGUCUUAUUUCAGCUGGAGAGCCAGUCACAUUCCGAGGUAAACGCUGCUUGGGAAGAAAUGCCAGGGCUCCAAGGUUGAUGGGAAAAGGAAACUGGCUUUCUGGCCCUGGAGACUUUCCACUGUCACAAGUGCCAUCAGGAUGCCCGGCUCCUGCCAGCUUUCGCUAGUCCUUCUGCCAGCACCACAGCGGCCCCCGUGGGGGUUCACUGCGCUGUGCCUGGCCAGGCCCCAGGCCAGAGACCGGGGUGGAGUAUGUGGGUCUCUGAGCCCAUUGGCCUGUGACCCCCCAAAAAGAGAUCACCCUUGCUUUUUAGGCCGCCAUCAUUAUGGGGAACACAGGAUCUUCUUGGGAUGCCUUUCAGUCCACUGGACUAAAUUCAGAUUGCAAGAUCUAAGAAAGAAAAAACUGACCUUCUUUUGUAAUACUUCCUGGCCUCAAUAUUCCUUAGGAGAUGAGGAAAAAUGGUGCACAUCAGCUCCUUCUCCUCCCCGCCUCGCUGUCAAGAAGCUAAGAGCACUCCCUUCAGAUCUCCCCACCGGUGCCCCAGACUCCUUCACUGCAAGGCAAGAAGUUCUACUCAAGAAAACUCCCAUAUGCUAGCAACUCUAGAUACAGCUGCCUUAGCCUUUCCUAACUCCUAGUAAAUUCUCAACUGACCAACCUUGACCGGUAGGUAGGGACAUCUCUAUGCCCCUGUUCAGCAGACAAAGCCAAGAAGGUGAGACGUUCCACCUUCAAAAACCUUUAAAGAUUUAAGGGUCAAAGUUGUUGGGGGGGUGGGGUGGAGGGGGGGUGGCAGGGAAUGAUGAGGGAAACAAAGGCAAGAAAAAUGUAGUUUAAAUAAAUCCCUUACGGCCUUCAGCCCACUGAUAGAUCCCAGACACCUGCAGCUCCUGACAUCCCUCCGGGAGUCUGUGGCUGCUUCAAUGCCUUAAAGUUUACAUGUCGUUAAAAACUAAAAGCAACCUUAUCUUGACAAUAGCUUAAUCCUCACGGUCCUCAAAGACCCUGCUUUCAGCAUACAGAAAGUCUUCAGAAACUAAUUUUAUCUCUCUCCCCACCUCCACAAACUUCAAAGUACACAAUCAGUCAGUCCUCACAACCCCAGGGUAGCUCUUUCUGCCCCUGGGUCCUGUCCUCCCCUGCUUUGAAUGAAAUCAUCUUUUUGCCCCCCAAAACGUCUCAAGAACUCUUUCUUAGCCCUUUGCUCACCGACCCCAUUUCAAAUUUCCUCAAGAGGAGAAAGAGUUCCCUGAGCGCUUUUCACAGGACACAGGACAAGGAAGGAGACUUUACCAAGGCAGAAGUGGGGGGCCUGACAGGAAGCACGUUUCUUAUGGAACUGGCUUUUUCAGUGUCUGUCUUCCUCUCCCCGGACACCAUUUCUUCUCCUCUCAGGUUGGGUGACUGUGUUUUAACGAGCCCUCCUAAGUGCCAGGCAUUUCUCUGGUAAUUUCUCAAUUCUCACACCACGUGAGGGGGUAUAUUCUCCCAGAUUACAGCUGAGGGGAUCAAGGUUCAGUGGGGAGACCACUCUUGAACCCAAGUCAGUGGGUUUUCUUCCCCUACAGAUGCUUCCAGAGACCAAGCCCGGCCCCCCUCCUCCUCCCAGGAGACCCCGGGCCUGGCUGACUGUGGCUCCUGGCCCUUGGCACAAACAGCAGUUCUGGGGCCAUUAUCCCCCUUAUCUUUUCCUGCAGGGCCCUUGCCUUUCGCAUGCUGUCAAAGACCAGCAAACGUCUGAAGGUGGUUCUGAUGACACAUUUGCACACGGGUGGGUCAGUGAAACCGCACUGUCCCCCCCCCCCCCCCCGCACUGGCACCCCGCCAGCCAGAAGCAGCCUUCACAGACCCGCUUGAGGCUAUGCGCAUCCCCAGUGGACAGACUCAUGGAGCUGCCACCCCUGUGGAGCCUGGGGACAGCUUGAUGGAAUGUCACCCAGGCAGGGCAGGCAGGCACCGUGAGGGGUGUCUGGGAGAGAGCCCCCCUCCGUGGCUCACCUCCCCUCUGGUCACACUGUAUGGACUGCCCCUGCUCUGCCCUUGCACCACGCCGGGCCCAGUCCUUGGCACUAACGGGGGUCACCGAAGACGUGCUGGCCAUGGCCCACAGGAGCCUUCCACUUAGCGGGGCAAAGGUAGUGGAAAGAUGCGGGAGCCAGGGAGACCUGGUUCGGAUCCCAGCUCUGCCACUUCUUCUGGGCAUGAGGUCACUUUCCUCAUCUGAAAAAUGGGGCUGAUCCCAUUCGGGGAUGCGGGGGCCAGGGAGGCUUACAUGAAGUGAUUUCAACCUGCUACAGCUCUGGCCUCAAGGUGGGACCUCAGCACAUGUCACUUCCCUUCCCUUCCCUUUCCUUGAGAGCCAAGACCCAGGCACCAGAACUGAGCAGGUUCAAACACAUCCCCAGGUGGGGGAAGGGCUUAUCUCCGCCACUGACCACAGUGUGUUUGUAGAUGAGCCCAAGGUCAGUGACCCCGCCUCUGCCCUGCAGAGCUGCUGCCACACUCCAGUCCUUGAACAGCCUCACCUGACUCUCUCCUCCGCCCACACACCCCCUCCC